rnacentral:rRNA from 1 species
UACGUAGGGUGCAAGCGUUAAUCGGAAUUACUGGGCGUAAAGCGUGCGCAGGCGGUUGUGCAAGUCAGAUGUGAAAUCCCCGGGCUCAACCUGGGAAUUGCAUUUGUGACUGCACGGCUAGAGUGUGUCAGAGGGGGGUAGAAUUCCACGUGUAGCAGUGAAAUGCGUAGAGAUGUGGAGGAAUACCGAUGGCGAAGGCAGCCCCCUGGGAUAACACUGACGCUCAUGCACGAAAGCGUGGGGAGCAAACAGG